GACGACCUUUGGCGGCGCGCCUAACACAUGCAAGUCGAACGAGCGAGAGAGAGCUUGCUUUCUCGAGCGAGUGGCGAACGGGUGAGUAACGCGUGAGGAACCUGCCUCAAAGAGGGGGACAACAGUUGGAAACGACUGCUAAUACCGCAUAAGCCCACGGCUCGGCAUCGAGCAGAGGGAAAAGGAGUAAUCCGCUUUGAGAUGGCCUCGCGUCCGAUUAGCUAGUUGGUGAGGUAAUGGCCCACCAAGGCGACGAUCGGUAGCCGGACUGAGAGGUUGAACGGCCACAUUGGGACUGAGACACGGCCCACACUCCUACGGGAGGCAGCAGUGGGGAAUAUUGCACAAUGGGGGAAACCCUGAUGCAGCAACGCCGCGUGGAGGAAGAAGGUCUUCGGAUUGUAAACUCCUGUUGUUGGGGAAGAUAAUGACGGUACCCAACAAGGAAGUGACGGCUAACUACGUGCCAGCAGCCGCGGUAAAACGUAGGUCACAAGCGUUGUCCGGAAUUACUGGGUGUAAAGGGAGCGCAGGCGGGAAGACAAGUUGGAAGUGAAAUCUAUGGGCUCAACCCAUAAACUGCUUUCAAAACUGUUUUUCUUGAGUAGUGCAGAGGUAGGCGGAAUUCCCGGUGUAGCGGUGGAAUGCGUAGAUAUCGGGAGGAACACCAGUGGCGAAGGCGGCCUACUGGGCACCAACUGACGCUGAGGCUCGAAAGUGUGGGUAGCAAACAGGAUUAGAUACCCUGGUAGUCCACACCGUAAAC
rnacentral:rRNA from 1 species